rnacentral:rRNA from 1 species
ACUGCUCAGUAACACGUGGACAACCUACCCUGAGGUCGGGGAUAAACCCGGGAAACUGGGUAUAAUACCCGAUAGAUCUAGAUCGCUGGAAUGCUUUUAGGUCUAAAGUUCCGACGCCUCAGGAUGGGUCUGCGGCCUAUCAGGGUAGUAGUGGGUGUAAAGUACCUACUAGCCCACGACGGGUACGGGUUGUGAGAGCAAGAGCCCGGAGAUGGAUUCUGAGACACGAAUCCAGGCCCUACGGGGUGCAGCAGGCGCGAAACCUUUACAAUGCUGGCAACAGCGAUAAGGGGACCUCGAGUGCUACGAUACAAUCGUGGCUGUCUAGUUGCCUAAAAAGCAAUUGAUAGCAAGGGCCGGGCAAGACCGGUGCCAGCCGCCGCGGUAACACCGGCGGCUCGAGUGGUAACCGCUAUUAUUGGGUCUAAAGGGUCUGUAGCCGGCUUAGUUAGUCUCUUGAGAAAUCUGGCCGCUCAACGGUCAGGCGUUCAGGGGAUACUGCUAAAGCUCGAGACCGGGAGAGGUGAGAGGUACUUCAGGGGUAGGGGUGAAAUCUUGUAAUCCUUGAAGGACCACCAGUGGCGAAGGCGUCUCACCAGAACGGAUCUGACGGCAAGGGACGAAAGCUAGGGGCACGAACCGGAUUAGAUACCCGGGUAGUCCUGGCCGUAAACGAUACUCGCUAGGUGUCGGCCACGGUGCGACCGUGGUCGGUGCCGUAGGGAAGCCGUGAAGCGAGCCACCUGGGAAGUACGGCCGCAAGGCUGAAACUUAAAGGAAUUGGCGGGGGAGCAC